GCUAGUUUGUUCGAGUGGUCUAAGAAGGCAGAUUUAAGACCUGUUCCUCAUUAGAGGGCGUGGGUUCGAACCCCACAGCUAGCA
rfam:Fistulifera solaris DNA, contig: scaffold00117, strain: JPCC DA0580.